UUUUACAAUGGAGAGUUUGAUCCUGGCUCAGGAUGAACGCUAGCUACAGGCUUAACACAUGCAAGUCGAGGGGAAACGACAUCGAAAGCUUGCUUUUGAUGGGCGUCGACCGGCGCACGGGUGAGUAACGCGUAUCCAACCUGCCCACCACUUGGGGAUAACCUUGCGAAAGUAAGACUAAUACCCAAUGACGUCUCUAGAAGACAUCUGAAAGGGAUUAAAGAUUUAUCGGUGAUGGAUGGGGAUGCGUCUGAUUAGCUUGUUGGCGGGGUAACGGCCCACCAAGGCGACGAUCAGUAGGGGUUCUGAGAGGAAGGUCCCCCACAUUGGAACUGAGACACGGUCCAAACUCCUACGGGAGGCAGCAGUGAGGAAUAUUGGUCAAUGGACGAGAGUCUGAACCAGCCAAGUAGCGUGCAGGAAGACGGCCCUAUGGGUUGUAAACUGCUUUUAUAAGGGAAUAAAGUGAGUCUCGUGAGACUUUUUGCAUGUACCUUAUGAAUAAGGACCGGCUAAUUCCGUGCCAGCAGCCGCGGUAAUACGGAAGGUCCGGGCGUUAUCCGGAUUUAUUGGGUUUAAAGGGAGCGUAGGCCGGAGAUUAAGCGUGUUGUGAAAUGUAGACGCUCAACGUCUGCACUGCAGCGCGAACUGGUUUCCUUGAGUACGCACAAAGUGGGCGGAAUUCGUGGUGUAGCGGUGAAAUGCUUAGAUAUCACGAAGAACUCCGAUUGCGAAGGCAGCUCACUGGAGCGCAACUGACGCUGAAGCUCGAAAGUGCGGGUAUCGAACAGGAUUAGAUACC
rnacentral:rRNA from 1 species